rnacentral:rRNA from 1 species
AAUAGAUACCCUGGUAGUCCACGCCGUAAACGUUGGGCGCUAGGUGUGGGGGCCAUUCCACGGUCUCCGUGCCGCAGCUAACGCAUUAAGCGCCCCGCCUGGGGAGUACGGCCGCAAGGCUAAAACUCAAAGGAAUUGACGGGGGCCCGCACAAGCGGCGGAGCAUGUUGCUUAAUUCGAUGCAACGCGAAGAACCUUACCUAGGCUUGACAUGCACGGAAAUCUCGCAGAGAUGCGGGGUGCCUUUGGCGUCGUGCACAGGUGGUGCAUGGUUGUCGUCAGCUCGUGUCGUGAGAUGUUGGGUUAAGUCCCGCAACGAGCGCAACCCUCGUUCCAUGUUGCCAGCACGUAAUGGUGGGGACUCAUGGGAGACUGCCGGGGUCAACUCGGAGGAAGGUGGGGAUGACGUCAAAUCAUCAUGCCCCUUAUGUCUAGGGCUGCAAACAUGCUACAAUGGCCGGUACAAAGGGCUGCGAUACCGUGAGGUGGAGCGAAUCCCAAAAAGCCGGUCUCAGUUCGGA